UUGAGCCCUGCCCUCACGGGUAGACCUCCAACCCUGUGUAUUUAUACCUUUGUUGCUUCGGCAGGCCGUCUAGGUUUCGGCCUGGCUAUGGGCUUCGGCUCGUAAGCGCCUGCCAGAAGACAUUCAAACUCUGUAAUCAGUGUCGUCUGAGUACUAUAUAAUAGUUA
rnacentral:misc_RNA from 1 species